CUGCCCUUGAGCGCCCCGUGAGGAAGAAACCGUGUAUUGCCUCAUGCCCCAGAGAGGUAAACGGAGGCUAGAGAAAUUACGCAGCUGGGACCAGGCAGUGGUGGUGAAGACAGACGACAGCACCUGUCUCAGAAAACGUUUUUAGGAGUCGGCGUGGUAACGGGCCAAUUCUUUUAGAGCCACCAAGCUUCUCCCUGCAGUCAUCCUGCCCAUGGCUGUUGAUGGCCCUGAUGGGGCUUGGAGCCCCCAGAAUGUGCAGAAGUUGGACAAAGGUGGUCUUCAAAUGCAAUGGUUGUCUUAUCACCGAAAACCCACGGCAUCCAGAGGAGGCCCUUUACUACGAAGGUUACAGAGACCACAGGUCUCUGUACGUCCCAAGUUUCCCCUGCUGCCAAAGGCAGGGGAGGAGAGAAUUCUGGAAGCCCACCCUGUCGCACGGCUCCUCUGGCACAUGGAGCCACUGAAUGUCUUGUGAACAUUAAACAAAUGCUUCCAAGUGAA
rnacentral:antisense_RNA from 1 species